CUGGCGCAUAAAAUCUUCAAUUGGCGAAUUUUACUGGCGCCAACAUAAGAUAAAAGCAUCCGACAACUAGUACACUUAAAUAUCAUAAGCGGCCGCGUCAAUUACAUAAGCGGCAUUAAUGUGAAAGGUCACGCGCGAUUAGUUUGUUUAUCAAACUGUUUAAUCAAUUAUGUCAUCAAUUGUGUGACAUUUCGGGAACAUGACAAGAUAAAAGUGUCAAUGUGUUAAUUGGAACAAUUACGUCUUUAAUCCUCUGACUUGGAGCACUGAUAAUUACACAUGUGGUCAAAUGGUGUUAGUAGCGAAUCAGAAAAAUGAAAGAUCGUCCAUGAUGUUGACAAACAUUGAACUUUAGAUCACCAGAAUGUCAGGUAGAAGCUGGAAAGAUCAUGGCUCAGUCCAGUCAGUGAGAAUAAAUAAGUGAUAAGAACUACUAUAGGCUGCUAAAAACAGUGGAAAACAGUACCUCCAAACCUCACUACUAACUUAAAAUGAUGUUUUUGAUUACAUUUAUAAUGUCACAUGUAUUUAUUCAAAUGGAAUUUGAAAACCACAUAAUACUAUGUCUAUAUUUUAGAUAAUAAACAUGUGCAGCUGUAAUAAAAUGACACAUUAUAAAUA